GACGAACGCUGGCGGCGUGCUUAACACAUGCAAGUCGAACGGAAAGGCCCUGCUUUUGUGGUGUGCUCGAGUGGCGAACGGGUGAGUAACACGUGAGUAACCUGCCCUUGACUUUGGGAUAACUUCAGGAAACUGGGGCUAAUACCGGAUAGGAUCUCCUGCUGCAUGGUGGGGGUUGGAAAGUUUCGGCGGUUGGGGAUGGACUCGCGGCUUAUCAGCUUGUUGGUGGGGUAGUGGCUUACCAAGGCUUUGACGGGUAGCCGGCCUGAGAGGGUGACCGGCCACAUUGGGACUGAGAGACGGCCCAGACUCCUACGGGAGGCAGCAGGGGGGAAUAUUGCACAAUGGGCGGAAGCCUGAUGCAGAAACGCCGCGUGCGGGAUGACGGCCUUCGGGUUGUAAACCGCUUUCGCCUGUGACGAAGCGUGAGUGACGGUAAUGGGUAAAGAAGCACCGGCUAACUACGUG
rnacentral:rRNA from 1 species